rnacentral:rRNA from 1 species
GUGCCAGCAGCCGCGGUAAUACCGGCAGCCCGAGUGAUGGCCGAUCUUAUUGGGCCUAAAGCGUCCGUAGCUGGCCGCGCAAGUUCGUCGGGAAAUCCACUCGCUUAACGAGUGGGCGUCCGGCGAAAACUGUGCGGCUUGGGACCGGAAGGCUCGAAGGGUACGUUCGGGGUAGGAGUGAAAUCCCAUAAUCCCGCACGGACCACCGAUGGCGAAAGCACUUCGAGAAAACGGAUCCGACAGUGAGGGACGAAAGCCAGGGUCUCCAACCGGAUUAGAUACCCUAGUAGUCC